GCUCUAGUUAUCCAGACGAGGCGUCGAGCCGUCGAUACACGCAGGAUUCGACGGAGCGGGCGGUCAGCGUCGAUGCAGCCGAGGCGUCGAUCCAGCAGAGGCGCGAUUCGGGAUGUAGCCGAUGCGACGCUCGCGAGGUGAUCCGGUGCGUGAGGGAGGCUAGGCGCUCUAGCGACAGAGAUGCUGGAGAUGGGGCCUGAUGAUGAUGAUGAUGCCAUUUUUUGGCUGGCGUGAACCUGGUGUUCUUGAUGUGGAUGAUGCAGCAGGAAAUGCCACACUGGCCAAGGGACAACAACAUGAGCAAAUGAACUGGACACUCCUAUUGGGGAUGGUUGAGCCGCUAUAAGACAUAUAUUCAUAUUUCAGCUGUUAUAAGUACCACACGCCACAUUUGACAUCUUGUAUUGCCAAUACACAAGCAAUUAUAAUAUGCGUUCCAAACAGAAUACGUGUGAAGAACAUGAACAAUACUCUUCCAUUUUUAGUGAUCUAAACACUCUUAUAUUUCUUUAUAGAGGGAGCAGUAGAUAUGGGCGCUGUGUCCAAAGCACUGUCCAUUUUAUCGAAAACGAGUCCCUCAAGACUCUUCUGAAGAUAAUCUCUCUUCCUGUGUCAAUGCCUUUCAUACUGCUAUCAUAAGAUAAAGUCUGUAGCUACGUUUGCUUAAGUACAACUCUUGUUUCAGUUAUAGGCUUAUGGUUUAUGCAUCUUGGUCAUGUUCUGAACUUGAAGCGAUGUAAAAACCAAUCAUCAUAACCAAAUGUCUCAUCUAUGAAAGCUAAGUUAAGCUAUACUCGUGUGAGGUUCUCCACCUAAUACUCUUAGUACUAAAUUUGUAGGCGAGCAGUCAUAUACCCUAAAAGAUAAAGAAACUAAGUUUAUUCAUGGUGCAUUAUAGCCAUUUGUAUGUAGUACAAUAGUAGUAUAUUUGCAUAUGUUCUAUCUGAAACCCAAUUGGUGAAACCCAAUUGGUCAGUAUGUUUUCUUGUUAUUACAUCUCUGAUUAGUUUACUUUCUUAAAUAAUUUAGCUCCUAAUAUUUAUCACUUUUCCGAACAGACAUGUUAACCAGGUAUGUUGUCUUCGUGGUCAUCUGUACAUAUGCUAAUGUGAGCUUUAGCAUUGUAAAUUAACCUUCAUAUUUGUAUGUUUUAUUUGCAGUGCACUGUUUGUGAUUUAAUCAUUCACCCAACUGGUAGGAUCUGAAUCUGGUGGACUCCAUACGAUGGCUAUUUAUGUGAGUAGAUAGCUUCACCUUGGCUUGCUGUGAGUAUGGCAACGUCGGUUAUCACUCUCUUCUUCUUUGUUAAAAUCUAGGCGCAGGUCUCUCUUCUUUGGUGAAUCAUUCCGUUGGGGCACUCCAUCCCCUGUGAAUGGGUACAUUACCCAUCUAACUUCAGCCAUCAGCUUUGCUCUGGUAGAACCUAUUUCUCACUCCACGAUCUGAUAGUACAGCAUUUUGCUCACUCCAUGAUUUGAUAGUACUACAUUUUGCAGAUACCAAGAAAACCUCCAUAUUCAGUUGUACUUGUAGACUUGUAGUGUAGUAGUCCAUUGCUGAAUUGUAUUGCACUUUGCUUCUGGGUAUAGAACUACAUAUCACAUGGACCUUUCCCUGGAAGCAAGCAAACAUUUUUGACUCGUGAGGUGUAACUUGUCAUGUCUCUUUUAGAAUUUUAGAAAUGGUACCAAACUUACAGUACAAAUGGAGUCAAUGUUUAGUUAAAACUUGUUAAACAUUUUUUGUCGCUAAUGUAUUUGUGUCUUAUGUACUAUAUAUUGUAGUGUUUUCAUGCAAUUAGGCUAUUUUGUUGCAAAACAAAAAUAUAUAGCUGUGUUAAGUUUUCUCAUGGAUGAGUGACCACCUGAAGGUGCUUUGCUAUAGUAUGCAGUUCUCUCAAACUAAUCCAUGAUAUAUGGUAUGUAGUUCUCUCAUGGAUGAGUGACCACCUGAAGGUGCUUUGCUAUAGUUCUUGUUCCAUUAUUCAGUGACAUAUCACAUUGACUUUCUAUGGCCUUAAAGAAAAGGCUGCGGUUAAUUUCUAUGAAUGAGAUAGUAACUACCAAAGGUGUUGUUAUUUUGGGCAGGUUGCAGAUUUGGCUAUUUAUGUAUGUUAUUUUAUUAUAAUCUGUAUCUGGUGUAUGCAAAUAGUUGACGUGUUGACAUUUUUUC